CGAGGAGCUUGCAUCUCAUACAGUCAACGUAAAGCAAGGAAAAAACAGCAGGUCACAGCCCGUGAAAGCAGGAGGGAUUUGAUCCCUAACCAGCAGGGCUUCCCUGUGGAACCUUUGAAUAUUUCCUUUUACCUGUCCGCAGACAGAAGAACUGAAAUUCGGGCUGCUUAAAGAUCAGGCAAACCUGAGGGCUGAGAUAAGAGAGG
rnacentral:lncRNA from 1 species